AGUCUGACCUGCCCUAUGAUAUAUAUAUAUAUUAAAUGGCCGCGAUAGUUUGAUCGUGCAAAGGUAGCAUAAUCAUUAGUUUUUUAAUUGGGAACUGGAAUGAAAGGUCGAACGAGAAAAAAUCUGUCUCAAUUUAAUUUAAAUUAGAAUUUUAUUUUUAAGUAAAAAAGCUUAAAUAGAUUUAAAAGACGAGAAGACCCUAUAGAGUUUUAUAUUGAUUUAAAUAUUUUUUAGUUUAAGUAUUUAAUUUUAAAAUUUUUUUGUUAAUAUUUAGUUGGGGCGAUUGAAAAAUUUAAGGAACUUUUUUUAUAAAUUUAACAUUGAUAAGUGAGUAAAUGAUCCAUUUUUUAUGAUUAAAAGAUUAAAUUACCUUAGGGAUAACAGCGUUAUUUUUUUUGAGAGUUCUUAUCGAAAAAAGAGUUUGCGACCUCGAUGUUGGAUUAAAAUUAAUUUUUGGUGUAGAAGCUAAAAUGAUUAGGUCUGUUCGACCUUUAAAAUUUUACAUGAUCUGAGUUUAGACCGGUGUGAGCCAGGUCGGUUUCUAUCUUUAA
rnacentral:rRNA from 1 species